rnacentral:tRNA from 1 species
UGGAUCACCUCCUAACAGGGAGACAACAAAAUGUUAAAUAUUAAUUUUGUCACCUUAGGUCGAUCGGUAUCUCACGUUCUUAAUUUAUUAAGGAUUUCACUUCCUAAGUUUUUUCUAGGUCACACCCAUUAUUUUCCCUGGGCCAUUAGCUCAGGUGGUUAGAGCGCACCCCUGAUAAGGGUGAGGUCCCUGGUUCAAGUCCAGGAUGGCCCAUAUCUCUAUGUUGGGGGUAUAGCUCAGUUGGUAGAGCGCCUGCUUUGCAAGCAGGAUGUCAGCGGUUCGAGUCCGCUUACCUCCACUGAUUACCACCUCUUCCAUAAUCAAUAGAAAGGGAAUCUUAUGUGUUGUGAUCAAAUUCCGAACGAAUCUAGCUUCCUAAUGAAAUCAUUAAGAUGCUGGACUCAUUGAAUUAUUUUCAUUGUUUUCAGAGAACCUUGACAACUGCAUAGAUUAUUUUUAAAGACAAUAAGCAUCUUAAUGAUGCAGAUUUUUAUUUGCGCGAAUGCAUUAAUAACAAUUCUAUUAAGCUGAUGCUUCAAUUUUGAAGUUAUUGGUCAAGCUACAAAGGGCUCACGGAGGAUACCUAGGCACACAGAGGCGAUGAAGG